GUCUAUGACCAUGCCGCCCUGAACAAGCCCGAUCCCGUCUGAUCUCAAAAAAGCUAAGCAGGGUCGGGCCUGGUUAGUACUUGGAUGGGAGAUCACCUAGGAAGACCAGGUGCUGUAGGUA
rnacentral:rRNA from 1 species